CAACCCUCGAGCCCCCGGGCUCGGUGUUGGGGACCGGCCCCUGACGGUGGCCGCCCCCGAAAUCUAGUGGCGGACUCGCCGUAGCCUCCUCUGCGCAGUAGUUUACACCCUCGCACUGGAACGCGGCGCGGCCCUGCCGUGAAACCCCCAUCUCCAUAA
rnacentral:misc_RNA from 1 species